GACGAACGCUGGCGGCGUGCUUAACACAUGCAAGUCGAACGGGACGGCCCUGCUUUUGGGGGGUGCACGAGUGACGAACGGGUGAGUAACACGUGAGUAACCUGCCUGCGACUGGGGGAUAACUUCAGAAAACUGGGGAUAAUACGGGAUAGGAGCUCCUGGUGUAGGGUGGGGGUGGGAGGUUUCCGGUGGUUGGGGAUGGACUCGGGGCUUUUCGGCUUGUUGGUGUGGGAGUGGUGGAGGAAGGCUUGGACGGGUAGCCGGCCGGAGAGGGUGAGCGGCCACAUUGGGACGGAGACACGGCCCAGACGCCUACGGGAGGCAGCAGUGGGGGAUGUUGCACAAUGGGCGGAAGGCUGAUGCAGCAACGCCGCGUGCGGGAUGACGGCCUUCGGGUUGUAAACCGCUUUCGGCUGUGAUGAAGCGUGAGGGACGGUAAUGGGUAAAGAAGCACCGGCUAACUACGUG
rnacentral:rRNA from 1 species